GACGAACGCUGGCGGCGUGCUUAACACAUGCAAGUCGAACGGGCUGCCUGGUUUUUGGAUCGGGUGGUGAGUGGCGAACGGGUGAGUAACACGUGAGUAACCUGCCCCUCUCUUUGGGAUAACGUCGGGAAAUCGGCGCUAAUACCGGGUAUUCUGGCUUCCUCGCAUGGGGUUGUUGGGAAAGGUUUUUUCUGGUGGGGGGUGGGCUCGCGGCCUAUCAGCUUGUUGGUGGGGUGAUGGCCUACCAAGGCGGUGACGGGUAGCCGGCCUGAGAGGGUGUCCGGCCACACUGGGACUGAGACACGGCCCAGACUCCUACGGGAGGCAGCAGUGGGGAAUAUUGCACAAUGGGCGGAAGCCUGAUGCAGCGACGCCGCGUGGGGGAUGACGGCCUUCGGGUUGUAAACCUCUUUCAGUGCAGAACAAGGCUCUUUGUGGGUUGAGGGUAUGCGCAGAAGAAGCGCCGGCUAACUACGUG
rnacentral:rRNA from 1 species